rnacentral:rRNA from 1 species
UACGUAGGGUGCAAGCGUUGUCCGGAAUUAUUGGGCGUAAAGAGCUCGUAGGCGGUCUGUCACGUCUGCUGUGAAAACUCGGGGCUUAACCCCGGGCCUGCAGUGGGUACGGGCAGACUAGAGUGCGGUAGGGGAGACUGGAAUUCCUGGUGUAGCGGUGAAAUGCGCAGAUAUCAGGAGGAACACCGGUGGCGAAGGCGGGUCUCUGGGCAGUAACUGACGCUGAGGAGCGAAAGCGUGGGGAGCGAACGGG